rnacentral:lncRNA from 1 species
GCGUACAGAACCCUGUGCCCAGGCGGUGAGGGCUUCCGGCCAAACCCCGUCACUGUCAUUCUGGAAGACGUGAGAAAGAGUCUCUGCUUCCGGCACUAUAAUGGCACCUGUGGGAAUGAACUGGCCUUCAACGUGACCCGGAAGACGUGCUGCUGCGCCUACAACGUCGGCCAGGCCUGGAAUAGACCCUGCGAGGCCUGCCCCACCCCCACCAGCCCCGAUUACCAGGUCCUGUGUGGGAACCAGGUCCCGGGCUUCGUCGUCAACGUCCGCACGGGGGAGCCUGCUGGUGAGUGACACCACGGCCUCCUCCCGCUACCCCCAACCGCUCUCUUCUGAAACAGUGAGUAUUUUUAUUAAAUUGUCCUUCAUCUUUUUUUGAAUGAUGGAUAAAUACUCACAACAUAAAAUUCACCAUUUAGCCAUUUUUCAGCACACAACUGCACAGCACGAAGCACAUUCACGUGGCCAUGAGCCCUCCCUACCAGUCCCCUCCAGGAGGGUCUCCUUGUCCCGCACAGGAUCUGACCCCAUGAAACAGGAAGUCCCACCCUCCCCAGCUGGGCACCCACUGUCCUAUUUCCUGUCGCCGUGGUUCUGACAGCUCCAGGGACCUGCUAGGAGAGAGAUCAGCCAGUGCUUGGCUUUUGAUUUAGGAAAUAGUAACAAGAAAAGAAGAGUCUGUCCAUGUUCAGUGUAGAUACAAAUUAUUUUUUUUUCUGGCACUGGGGACUGAACACAGGGCUUUUCACACUGAGCUGCAUCUCCACCCCUGCCUUACUUUUUACUUUGAAACAAUCUCUCACUAACUCACUCAGCUGCCUGGGCUGGGCUCCAACUGGCAGACCUCCUGCCUCAGCCUCCCAGAGUGCUGGGAUUACAGAGGUGUGGAACCAUGCCUGGAAAAAAAAUUUUGUUUUAAAUUUUUUAAAGGUCUUGG